AGGAGGGCGUCAUGCCUGAGGCAUUUAUUUACGAUCAUGUCCGCACGCCGCGCGGCAAAGGCAAAUCCGACGGCUCUCUGCAUGAGGUCACGGCGCUGGCGCUGGCGACCGCGCCGCUGAAGGCGCUCAAGGAGCGCAACAAUCUCCAGGAAGAUACCGUCGACGACGUGAUCCUCGGCGUGGUCGAUCCGGUCGGCGAGGCCGGCGGCGACAUCGCGCGCUGGUCUCGGCGAGGCGGGUCCGGGGAUCCAGAUCAGCCGCUUCUGUGCCUCCGGUCUCGACGCCGUCAACUUCGCGGCCGCACAGGUCAUGUCCGGGCAGCACGAACUGACCAUCGGCGGCGGCGCGGAAUCCAUGAGCCGCGUCGGCAUUCUUUCGUCGGGCACGGCCUGGCCGGUAGACCCCUCGAUGGCGGUGCCGAGUUACUUCAUGCCGCAGGGCGUGGCGGCGGAUCUGAUCGCCACCAAGUACGGCUUCUCCCGCGAUGACGUCG
rnacentral:misc_RNA from 1 species